AGCAGUCGCCACGGGAAAACCAGCACCUCGAGUGGUCAGGAGGUUUAUUGGGCCUAAAGCAUCCGUAGCCGGUUGCAUAAGUUUUCGGUUAAAUCUAUGCGCUUAACGUAUAGGCCGCCGAAAAUACUGUGCAGCUAGGGAGUGGGAGAGGUACACGGUACUCGAUAGGAAGGGGUAAAAUCCUUUGAUCUAUUGAUGACCACCUGUGGCGAAGGCGGUGUACCAGAACACGUUCGACGGUGAGGGAUGAAAGCUGGGGGAGCAAACCGGAUUAGAUACCCCUGUAGUCCCUGUCUCUUAUAC
rnacentral:rRNA from 1 species